AAAUCUGGCGGUCCUUGGCCGUCCGAGUUGUAAUUUAGAGAAGUGUUACCCGUGCUGGACCGUAUACAAGUCCUCUGGAAUGGGGCGUCGUAGAGGGUGAGAAUCCCGUCUUUGAUACGGACUACCAGUGCAUUGUGGUGUGCUCUCAAAGAGUCGAGUUGUUUGGGAAUGCAGCUCAAAAUGGGUGGUAAAUUCCAUCUAAAGCUAAAUAUAGGCGAGAGACCGAUAGCGAACAAGUACCGUGAGGGAAAGAUGAAAAGAACUUUGGAAAGAGAGUUAAACAGUACGUGAAAUUGCUGAAAGGGAAACGCUUGAAGUCAGUCGCGUCGGCUUGGAAUCAACCUUGCUUGCUUGGUGUACUUCCUUGUCGACGGGUCAGCAUCAGUUUCGAUCGCUGGAUAAAGGUCAUUGGAAUGUGGCACCCUCGGGUGUGUUAUAGCCUUUGAUCAUAUACAGCGGU
rnacentral:rRNA from 1 species